rnacentral:lncRNA from 1 species
CAGAGACCAUAUGUUGUUUUCAUUUGUGAAAUCUUUCUUGGUCAUAUGUGGCACAGAGGAGGGGCCCAGUAUGUUUUUUAAAAACAGUAAUAGGGAAAAGGAUGUAGCUCAGUGAUAGUGCCUUGCAUGCACAAGGCUCUAGUUUUUAUCUCUAGCACCAGAAAUGAACAAACAAGCGAAAACAAAGUGUGAAGCAUGGUUAUUAGCAUAAUGUGGUAGGAGUAAUCAAAGGUCUUUUUAAACUUCAAAGGGUGCUUGUCCUGUUUGAAAAUAGGCAUAUAUUUAAAAAUAAAGGUUCAUUUUGUAAGUCACAUGGGGGCAGGAAGCAGGAAAGAGACUGGAAUUCAGGUUUAUCUGACUUGAGUUUCUGCCUGAACCACUAGGCAAGAUGCACAAAAUAGACCCUGUUCCUCCUUGAUUGUCUCCAUCUUGCUCCCUGACCUACAAGCUGGAGGAAAUGCCUACUACCUCCUAUGCUAGAGAGAGCUGGAAUUAGAGGGCUGGUGGUUUGGCUGUUAGGAGACAAAUCUGUUUUGAAUUCUCAGAUAUACUCCAUUGAAUCUCAGGGAUGAUGGAAGGGUUUUCCGGAGGGCACUACCUCUCUGUCGUGGCUGGAAUGGAUGGUGAGGUCAACUACUGCCCAGAUAAGGGAGGGAGGAGAAAGGCAGGUUUCAGGGGGAAGAAGUUAUUUGCCAAUCAUGGAAUGUGUUCCAUGUGAGAUGCCCAAGAAUUGUCCCUAGCAGACAUUUGGAUAUGGGUUUGGAAUUCAAGGGAGGUUGAGCCUGAGACAAAGUUUUGGGUUAAGUCAAUUAUGGGUUCUUGAACAGCAUCAAGAACUGUUCAAGACUGUAAGGUGAAGAAAGGGUCUUCGGAAAUACAUCAGAGGGUCAGGAGGAAAGACACUGAGAAGGGGCCAGAAUGCAGGCAACUAGAACGAUAGAGCAAAGAAGUGAUCCUGAAGAGGGUAAGAUCCGGGAGGUGUGUGUGAUGCUGGAGAGUAGGGCAGGAAAGGAAUAGGAUGAAAAAUCCAAAGCUGGAGGAGUCAGGGGGAGAGUGAAAUCCUAUGGGCAUUGCCUUUGUGAAGGCGAAGCAGGCAUGGUACUUGUCCAAGUGAAGAAGCACAGGGAUAGAGAAGGGACUGGAAGCUGGGAGAGGGGUUUGGGGCCUUAAAGAAGUGUCAAGAUUUA